GGCUGGGCUGAGUGUCCUCUUUUGUAGAAAUCAAAAUAUGGUCACCCUAGUCUAGCAUUAGUUUUAAGGCAUUUCAAAUGAAAAAUGUCCUGAGUGUGUUGCUAAGACCCGUGUGCAUCUAUAAAAGGGCUGUGGAGUCUGUGGCGUGAAGAUUCCGGGCGAAGGUACCUUGAACGAGAAGCGUAGACGAGAUCCUGGAACAAAGCGAAUGGGUCCAUGAACAACAUUGCUGCCAUCACUUCAGUCAUACACACUUUCAUUAUUUCUCCAUCAGAGAAUGGCUUCUUAUGUUUGGCCAACACCCACGACACUCUGAGAGGAAACUUGUCCUGUCUCUUCACCACCAAGCUUUGGCUGAAUGGUGAAUGAACACCUAAAGCGCCGUCACCCAGUUGUAAUUUUGGAUGAUGGCAGGAGACUACGCUGGCAGAUUAUUGUCAGGGAAAUUCACUUUUGAACACCAAGACAAGUAUCAAAUAAGAGAACAGAAUCAGACUCAGCCAAGGAUUGUCUUCCUUCGAAGGCUUUAUGAACAAGAGCUGUCGGGUACAGACGCGGAGCCACGCACAAAGCGUCCUCUCCGCAUUUGGACAAAAGAGAGGCAUGCCUCUAUUUAUGGGUUGACAUCAUAGAAACUAAACCGAAACUUACUAUAGCAUAUCCUGGGAAAAACACCUCAAGUUAUGACCUUGAACACCGGCUCUAUGCUCUAUGCUACAAUGUUCUCAUGCAAGCAUAACAAAAGCAUACAAAAUAUGAUG